UUGCUUCUUUUUGCUAGCGUUGGCUUCUUUCUCAGCUUUUAUCUUUUCAUUUGCAAUUGCACUCACAGAAGCCGAAACUUCUUUUGCAUCUGCAGCUUUCAUGGCAGUCAUGGACAGUCUCAUUAUUGCCUUAAGUAAACCGAUAUAAUGGUAACUUUUCUGCAUUAGAGAAUGUAUUUUUUUUCGCCAGGUCAAAAACUGCACCAGCCUUUUAUUAUCACCAUACUAAAGCUAAUUCAACACACCUCAAAUGAGCGAAGCUUAUGUGAAAUAAGUUCUGCAUAUUCCAAGAAGUCACUUUCAGAUUUUGGUAUGAAAUUAUCAAGCGAUUUCUCAUCACCUUUGUUAGCAAACAGUUCUGUAGUGGAUCUGAAAUCAGCUUCUUCCACCAGCCUAUAUAAUUGAGUAAAUCUUUAAGAAACCAUUGCUUAAAGGAAAAGGCAAACAAAAAACUUAUAAAUUGAAACAAGUCAAAACAAAACAUGCCUACUGCAAAAUUGCCUGAAAAGUUUCAUGCUGCCAAACAACAUUUAACCAAACCCAACAUGAUCAGAACAAAACCUCAAGGACACUAUUAGUUGAAACAGGUUUUGUUAAGAAAUCAUACUAUAAUAAUAAUAUUAAUAAUAAAAAUCAUCAUCUAAAUGAUUAAGCACUGUUCAUAUAUUUGUAAAGCAGCAAAAAGACAUAGGCAGCCAACCCUCAGUAUAGAACAAUUAAAAGAGGCAACUCAAGGAAGGUGAAAAUCUUAUACAAAAGAAACAGCAGCAAUAGCUUAGUCCUGACAUUCCUCACAUUAAAGUUGUAAAAAUGCUCAGAGAAACAUGAACUAUUAAAUAUACUCUAUCAUCAUAAAAGCUUACUAUAUUGUUUCCCCAUUGCAAAAUCAUAAACAUCUACAAUUUGAAGUCUCUAAAUUGCAGCAGAAGAUCUAACACGGUUUCCCUUAGAAGGAGCUAGGUAGAUCAUUCAUGGAGUAGCAUACACUGGAGUUUUUAACUUUUAUUCCCACAUCCAGAUGCUUCUUUAUGUUUUGAUUAACAUUUAUAAGUAAAGCUAUGAUUAGAUUAGAAUUCAUUUCCUACAAGAAAUAUUAAUAACCUUGUCAUUAAAAUCUUGUUAGGUUGUUUCCAGAACAGGUAUUUUAAUUUCCCAAAAAGAAGUAAAGAAGCAUGAAAAAGAAAAACAGAAUAAUGUGUUUCCUAGCAAAUCCUCAACUUCAAUUCGUCUUCCAUCUAUUCCAGUUUAGCAACUUUGUUUUCCCUUCAGUUGCAUCCAAUUUGGUACAGGUGGGAAAAAAUUAUCAAAUUGUACUUGGAUUAUAUUUCAGAAGUCAUUGCCACAUGGAGCAAUUAUGAAACAGAAAAUCAAGGAAACAUAGGCUAGAUGCGAUGUAUAAAAUUAUUAUGAAUUGUUCAUACUUCAAAUUAUUAGCAGAGAAAAAAACUGCAUAUUGAGUACCUUUGCUGGCGAAGUUUCUCAGCUAGUGGAUCUAGUUUCUCUUCCUUCAGCACCUGAACAGUUUUUCCCUUCUUUUCGGUAGACUUUGCUGCGGAUUUCUUAGGAGCCUUUUCAGGAGGAGGUUUCACUACUGGUGCCUGAUCCAAUUCCAUAAAGAAAUACAAUAAUUACAGAUCAAGCACGGAAUGCAGCACUUCAUAUUUCUGUAACAGUGGGACUCAAAUAAAAAAGUUUAUAAGUGCAUAAAAUAAGCUAAGGUAUAAUAUACAUCUGCAUCCCAUAUUUCAGCAUCACAUUUCUGUACACUUUUCUUAAUGAACCCCUGCCCACAAAAAUAUUCUCUUACAUCCCUUCCCAAGCUCCCACUCCGCUUGAACAAAAUAGAAAGCUCCUAGAGAUAUGCACAUGUUUUUCCAGAUUGCAUAAAAGCUCCUUCCAAAUCAUAAAUUCCGAGCAUUUCAUUUCUAAUGAAAGCUACCUACAUAUUAUCAUUAAAUAUUAUCAUGGUAAAAUUACACUUCAAAUCCUUCUUUUAUUAAAAAAACAAAACUCUAUGAGUUAUAAUAUACUUUUUUAUUUUUUAGGGGUAAAUUGCAAGAACGAGAUCAAAUUUUAUGUAGCAUAAACUUCAAGCAGUCAAUACUCAUCCUCCAUCCCCAAUUGGUCCCCUCAAUGAUCUUGUUAGGUACCACUCUAGCAUUUGAUAUCCUCGCAUUAUUGUUUUGCUUUUCCAUAACUAAAGAUUAUUCCUUUUACUGUUGCAUGGGGUCAAAGAUGGUUGCCCAGCAGUGGAGAAUGCAACACCAUCAAAUUCUUUCCAGCAUUCAUGAGCCUUACUAUAGAGCUUAUUGGGCGCUAUAUUCAUGAACCUUACUUGGACCUCAGGUACUGUUAAAUUAUGGUUGCAAUCCCACACAUCAUCCAUAAAUGCUGCAUUAUGGAUGCACAUUACAAGGCAUGCCUGUGUGCAGGCAUCAACCCUAGUGGUAUCAACGGAGAAGUUAUGCCAGGCCAAGUAAAAUAAAAGAAAUAGCAUUUCUCUUCUACCAUUUUGAUCUUAUUAUUCUAGUUUAGAACCAUUCUGAUCUUGUUCUCCAAUUUCUAUUGUUUUCUGAAAUGUCUAUAUUUAUGUUAACAGAGGAUUACUGAGGUUGCUGGAGUUGUGCUUUCAUUUGAUCCCACGCCAAUUCAGGUCAGUUUUUAUUUCAUUGUACCUUAAUGGAUGCUGCAAGUGUGCAUGUUUUCAGUACUUUUAUUGUUUGAACUCUCAAGAAAUUGGACUUUUGUUUUGUCAAGGAGAUUGGAAAGGAGCGGGGGCACACACAAAUGACAGGUACAAUUUUGCAUCAUUGAUUGAAACUUAACUUGUUUGUUUCUUUAUUCCACCCUCUUGAUUAUUAUUUUUGUCUUCUACUUGAAAAUUCUUCACAUUUUCAAUACUAAGUCAAUGAGAAAUGAAAUAGGCUAUGAAGACAUCAAGAAAGCAAUUGAAAAGCUUGGUCUGAGGCAUAAAGAACACAUUUCAGAUUAUGGAGAAGGGAAAGAGCAGAGACUCACUGGAUGACACGAAACAGCUGAUAUAAAUACUUUCAAAUGGGUAAGAGGAAAAUGAAACAAUUUCCUUGCUGUGACACACAGAAAGAUGUCUUUGCAUUAAUUUCAUUACAUCUUGUGCGAUUGACAGGGUGUAGCUAGCUAAUCGCAGGCUGUCUUUCAUGUUUGCCGCAACAUAAAGAAAGAAGGAAAGGGGUGCUUUGAGGACAGAAGGCAUGCUUCAAACAUGGAUCCAUAUGUUGCGACUUCCAUGAUUGCAUAAACCACCAUCCUUCGGAUGCCAAGAGAACAUCAACCAACCCCUCACAUGAAAUAUUGUUUUUAGUAGUCUGUCCAAGGAACCAUAGAAAGAUCUCUGUCAUCAGGAUGGAUAUCUUUCAGUUUGUUUCCCUUUGUAUUUGAAGCAGCAACUGAUGUUAAUUGCUUUGUUUGCUUGCCUUGUGAUUCUGCAUUCUGUGUCGAAUAAUGUAACCCUAGAGUUAAGGAAAGAUGGUAAAAAGGAUUCCAUUAUGAAUGUGAGAACCAUGAAGUGUCUUUACUUAUUUCAACUUUUACCUCCAUACAAACGAAUAUAAAGACAUUCAGUCCUUGUCUUUCAAGGGUUUUAACUAAACAGCUGAAAACAAAGGCAAAAAUGCAAAGUUUUCUUCUAACAACAUUGUAUACAACAUACACUCAAUCACCAAUUAUGGUGUAACUGUGAUUCUGAUGAAACACAUUGAGCCCAAAAAUGUAAUGCCUAUUACCAAAACAGAUUACAUAAAAUCGACAUCAUCAAGAGCAUCAUAGGGAUUAACCACCAAAUCAUCGUCGGGCUUAUCAACAUGAAGCUGUUUUUUCUUCCCAGCUGCAAGGAAUGAAUAAAAAGCAAGGUGUUAUAUUCAUUAACAUUCUAAAUUGUAAUAUCUUCAGUACAACCGGUUGAAUUCAGUAUCUGGUGGUUGCAUAUGGGUUUCCUCGAAAAGAGUAAUGAAAUCUUAGCAGAAGGUGCAUGUACAACAGGAGUACUGAAAAUUUUCCUUUUUCUGAACCAAUGAAUUCCAUUUAACUAGCGUUUCAAAAUCCAUGACUCAAAAGAAACAUAAUGUUUCAAAAUGUCUAAGAAUCUUACUGAUGCUUACUAUGAAAAAUAAGUGGAAUCAUGUACCUUGCUUCUUUUUGCUAGCGUUGGCUUCUUUCUCAGCUUUUAUCUUUUCAUUUGCAAUUGCACUCACAGAAGCCGAAACUUCUUUUGCAUCUGCAGCUUUCAUGGCAGUCAUGGACAGUCUCAUUAUUGCCUUAAGUAAACCGAUAUAAUGGUAACUUUUCUGCAUUAGAGAAUGUAUUUUUUUUCGCCAGGUCAAAAACUGCACCAGCCUUUUAUUAUCACCAUACUAAAGCUAAUUCAACACACCUCAAAUGAGCGAAGCUUAUGUGAAAUAAGUUCUGCAUAUUCCAAGAAGUCACUUUCAGAUUUUGGUAUGAAACUAUCAAGCGAUUUCUCAUCACCUUUCUUAGCAAACAGUUCUGUAGUGGAUCUGAAAUCAGCUUCUUCCACCAGCCUAUAUAAUUGAGUAAAUCUUUA
rnacentral:lncRNA from 1 species